CAGAGAGUAGCUUGCUACUUUGCUGACGAGUGGCGGACGGGUGAGUAAUGUCUGGGGAUCUGCCUGAUGGAGGGGGAUAACUACUGGAAACGGUAGCUAAUACCGCAUAAUGUCGCAAGACCAAAGCGGGGGACUUUCGGGCCUCGCACCAUCAGAUGAACCCAGAUGGGAUUAGCUAGUAGGUAGGGUAAUGGCUUACCUAGGCGACGAUCCCUAGCUGGUCUGAGAGGAUGACCAGCCACACUGGAACUGAGACACGGUCCAGACUCCUACGGGAGGCAGCAGUGGGGAAUAUUGCACAAUGGGCGCAAGCCUGAUGCAGCCAUGCCGCGUGUAUGAAGAAGGCCUUCGGGUUGUAAAGUACUUUCAGUCAGGAGGAAGGGUGUGAAAUUAAUACUUUCAUGCAUUGACGUUACUGACAGAAGAAGCACCGGCUAACUCCGUGCCAGCAGCCGCGGUAAUACGGAGGGUGCAAGCGUUAAUCGGAAUUACUGGGCGUAAAGCGCACGCAGGCGGUUUGUUAAGUCAGAUGUGAAAUCCCCGGGCUCAACCUGGGAACUGCAUUUGAAACUGGCAAGCUUGAGUCUUGUAGAGGGGG
rnacentral:rRNA from 1 species